CCUACGGGAGGCAGCAGUGGGGAAUAUUGGACAAUGGGCGAAAGCCUGAUCCAGCCAUGCCGCGUGUGUGAAGAAGGCCUUCGGGUUGUAAAGCACUUUCAGUGGGGAAGAAAGCCUUGGGGCUAAUACCCUCGAGGAAGGACAUCACCCACAGAAGAAGCACCGGCUAACUCCGUGCCAGCAGCCGCGGUAAUACGGAGGGUGCGAGCGUUAAUCGGAAUUACUGGGCGUAAAGCGCGCGUAGGCGGUCUGAUAAGCCGGUUGUGAAAGCCCCGGGCUCAACCUGGGAACGGCAUCCGGAACUGUCAGGCUAGGGUGCAGGGGAGGGAGGUAGAAUUCCCGGGGUAGCGGGGAAAAGGGUAGAGAUCGGGAGGAAUAACAGGGGCGAAGGCGGCCUUCUGGACUGACACUGACGCUGGGGUGCGAAAGCGUGGGUAGCAAACAGGAUUAGAUACCCCGUAGUC
rnacentral:rRNA from 1 species